UAUGGCUCAGGAUGAACGCUAGCUACAGGCUUAACACAUGCAAGUCGAGGGGCAGCAUGGAGUUGCUUGCAAACUCUGAUGGCGACCGGCGCACGGGUGAGUAACGCGUAUCCAACCUUCCCUAUAGUAGAGGAUAGCCCGGCGAAAGUCGGAUUAAUACUCUAUGUUUUCCGUUGCAGACAUCUAAGAUGGAACAAAGGCUUGCCGCUAUAGGAUGGGGAUGCGUCUGAUUAGAUAGUAGGCGGGGUAACGGCCCACCUAGUCGACGAUCAGUAGGGUUCUGAGAGGAAGGUCCCCCACAUUGGAACUGAGACACGGUCCAAACUCCUACGGGAGGCAGCAGUGAGGAAUAUUGGUCAAUGGGCGAGAGCCUGAACCAGCCAAGUAGCGUGCAGGAUGACGGCCCUAUGGGUUGUAAACUGCUUUUAUGUGGGGAUAAAGUCACCCACGUGUGGGUGUUUGUAGGUACCAUAUGAAUAAGGACCGGCUAAUUCCGUGCCAGCCGCCGC
rnacentral:rRNA from 1 species